AAGUCGUAACAAGGUUUCCGUAGGUGAACCUGCGGAAGGAUCAUUAAAGAGAGCGACGUUCGCGUUCCGGGGCUUCGGCCCUCCUCUUCACCCGUGUUACCUUACCACAUUCGUUGCUUUGGCAGGCCUUGGGUCGUGCUCAUCCGCCCGGGGGUGUCCCGGGGGUCGAGCGCCUGCCGAAGCCAUUAACUCUGAAUCAACCAUGUUGUCUGAGUGAAAACAAAAUCAAGCAAAA
rnacentral:misc_RNA from 1 species